UGAUAUAUUAUAUAUACAUACAAUAAUUCACAAAUAUUGGUUGGGAAAGGAGGAAGAGAAAUAAAAGUACCAACAACAAAGCAAACAAAUUUGGAACCAAAAUGGCAAACAAAUUUGUUGCAUUGUUGUUGUUGUUGGUGUUGAUUGUAGUAGUUCAAGGCGAAAUCAAUGAAUUUGUGACCAAAGAAGAGUGCUUUAAUUAUUGCUACAACGCUAUGUUAAUGCCAGCAGCCGUUGCUGAAAGGAUAUGUAAAUGGCGCUGUCAAUAUCCGAUGUGGAGCGGUAAUUAAGCUGUAAUAUUUCAUCAUAUUCAUUAUUUUUCUAAUGCAUUUUUUUUUUACAAUCAUUUCUAUAUUAUAUUAUGUUUAAAAAAAUUAAAUAUUUUUAUUAUGGCAGCUCUUAAUUCACACAGGCGACCCAAGGAGGUUGGGUCCAGCUGGGGCUCCG
rnacentral:lncRNA from 1 species